rnacentral:rRNA from 1 species
AAAGUGAAACCGCAAACGGCUCAUUAAAUCAGACAGCCCUUAUUGGACGUACGGGGACUCGCUCCUGUCGGAUAACUGUCGGGAAUUCUAGAGCUAAUACGUGCUGAGAAGCCUCGACUCAGGGAGAGGCGCAUUUGUUAGACUUGAACCACUGGUGCUGGUGACUCUGGAUAACUGCAGCUGAUCGCACGGCCUGGCGCCGGCGACGUGUCCUUCAGAUGUCUGCCCUAUCAACUUUCGACGGUAGGCGAUCUGCCUACCGUGGUUGUCACAGGUAACGGAGAAUCAGGGUUCGAUUCCGGAGAGGGAGCCUGAGAAACGGCUGCUACUUCUACGGAAGGCAGCAGGCGCGCAAAUUACCCACUCUCGGCACGAGGAGGUAGUGACGAGAAAUAACGACGUCUGGCAAUGCCAGACGAUCGGAAUGAGUCAAUUGCAAAGACUUGGACGACUAGCAAUUGGAGGGCAAGUCUGGUGCCAGCAGCCGGGGUAAUYCCAG